GCUCUUGGAGACGAGGCUGGGCGAGGCCUGUGAGGCAGCGCCAGGAGGAGAGACUAGGCCUUGAGGCAGGCGCCUCCUCCUCCUCCUCAGAGCCAUGGCCGCCGUGCGGAUCCUUCCCUCCUGGCGCUGGGGGGCUCCCAUUCUGCCCAGGCUCUCCCGCCUGUUUUCCAGCUCCAGCAGCAGCCCCCGCCGAGGCCUCUCGGUCCCCGAGCGCAUCGAGGAGAAGCGUCGGGCUGCGCUGCUUGGCGGAGGCCAGGCCCGCAUAGAAGCGCAGCACCGGCGGGGAAAGCUUACAGCGAGGGAGCGUGUUCUUCUCUUACUGGAUCCUGACAGUUUUGUAGAAUAUGACAUGUUUGUGGAACACAGAUGUGCAGAUUUUGGGAUGGAGGCUGAGAAAAACAAGUACCCUGGAGAUAGUGUGGUAACUGGUCAGGGUAGAAUUAAUGGUAGACUGACAUAUGUCUUCAGUCAGGAUUUCACUGUCUUUGGGGGCAGUUUAUCUGGUGCACAUGCCCAAAAGAUCUGCAAGAUCAUGGAUCAGGCAGUGAUGGUUGGUGCUCCUGUGAUUGGAUUGAAUGAUUCAGGAGGAGCCCGAAUCCAAGAAGGAGUAGAGUCUCUGGCUGGUUAUGCUGAUAUUUUUUUGAGAAAUGUUUUAUGUUCUGGAGUAGUACCACAAAUUUCUCUUAUCAUGGGCCCUUGUGCAGGAGGUGCUGUCUACUCCCCUGCUUUAACAGAUUUCACAUUCAUGGUAAAGGACACAUCUUAUUUAUUCAUUACAGGUCCUGAUGUAGUCAAAUCAGUUACCAAUGAAGAUGUUACUCAGGAACAACUUGGUGGUGCAAAGACACACAGUGCAGUAUCAGGGGUUGCACACCGUGCUUUUGAGAAUGACGUAGAUGCUUUACUCAAUCUCAGAGAGUUUUUUAAUUACUUGCCUCUUAGUAAUAAAGAUCCAGCUCCUGUCAGAGAAUGCCAUGACCCUAGCAACCGCUUGGUACCUGAGUUGGAUACUAUUGUCCCAAUGGAAUCAACUAAAGCUUACGAUAUGGUGGAUAUUGUACAUGCGAUUGUCGAUGAGAGAGAAUUCUUCGAGAUUAUGCCUUCGUAUGCCAGAAACAUCAUAGUUGGGUUUGCUAGAAUGAAUGGAAGAACUGUUGGAAUAGUCGGCAACCAACCCAAAGUAGCAUCAGGUUGUUUGGACAUAAACUCUUCUGUGAAGGGAGCCCGUUUUGUCCGCUUCUGUGAUGCGUUCAAUAUCCCUCUGAUAACAUUUGUAGAUGUGCCUGGAUUUUUACCAGGGACAGCUCAGGAAUAUGGUGGUAUUAUACGUCAUGGUGCAAAACUGCUCUUUGCUUUUGCAGAAGCCACUGUGCCAAAAAUCACUAUUAUUACAAGAAAGGCUUAUGGUGGAGCAUAUGAUGUGAUGAGUUCAAAGCAUCUAAGAGGUGAUGCAAAUUAUGCAUGGCCAACAGCAGAGGUAGCAGUGAUGGGUGCCAAGGGAGCUGUUCAGAUAAUUUUCAGAGGAAAGGGGGCACAUACAGAGGCAGAAUAUGUGGAAAAGUUUGCAAACCCUUUCCCUGCGGCAACCCGAGGGUUUGUAGAUGACAUCAUCCAACCUUCUUCUACUCGACUUCGUAUUUGUCGCGAUUUAGAAGUGCUUGCCAGCAAAAAGCAAUCCAAUCCUUGGAAGAAGCAUGCCAACAUUCCCCUUUGAAAUUGGUUUAAUGGAAAGGGGAAAUAAAAUAUGGGGGAAAUCAGUGGACUCCAGAAUCUGACUUUUUGGCAGAGAUGCACACAUCUGACUUCUAACCUCUUUUGUAAGAGUAUUUCGCUCUCAAUGGUCAGAGAAGAUCUAGAAGCGUACCAUACUGCUAGUCACAUCCAGUGUGUUUAACAACACUUCUCCAGCCAGGAUGGCCUACUGAUAGCAUUGCUGCUGGUCAAUGGCUGACAGGCAUAAAUUUAAUAAAAAUGGCUAGCUUCUAAAACAUAAAAAGGCAAAUGUUAAAACAUUUUGAAGUUGUACAGCAGAAAAAUAAAGUUAAAAAGUUUUGUUUUCA